rnacentral:tRNA from 1 species
GGAGAGGUGCCGGAGUGGACGAUCGGGGCGGUCUCGAAAACCGUUGUAGCCCUUGGGGCUACCGAGGGUUCGAAUCCCUCCCUCUCCG